CGGCGCUGGUGCGGUUACGUCGUCGUGAGGCGCGCGUCCUAGGCGCGUGGAGUGGCGUGCACGGGCUCUCCCGUCUCUUCCUCGGACGUGUGGUUUUUGAAUGGCGUCCUUUCCGCUGCCCUCCAGCCAGGCUGCGUGAUGCGUCCCGAGGAUGCGCUGACCCGUGCGGCUCUUUGGAGUGCGCUUUCUGCUGUCCCCUCAGUCGAAAGACUUGAUAACGGCCCCUCGACUGUUUUGCGAGCUGUGUGGCGUCGCCAUCCGCCCUCCUACUGUUGUCACGAUUGUGUCUUGGCUCCCGGUAUCGUGUGGCCUGUUGUGUGUUGCGGGAUGCAGGCCUUUUCACGUUCGCCCCUUCUAGUGGCUCCUUCCAAGAUCUAGGGUCUCAAGGCUUCUCUGAAGGUGAGGGUGGAGAGAGGUGUCCUUGCGGCUCCUGGCCUUCUGCACUCUGAGACAUUGCCUCCUACCCCUCUUAAGUCUGCAUCCCCGCGCUGUCCUUUGAACCAGGCUUGAUUCCCUGGGGUCCUUUAAAAGUCUUUCACUUCUUGGUGCCAAGCAGAAAUAUUGUAUUGAUUUUUCUCCUGCCUGGAAUGCCUUUUUGUACUUUAAUUGUACAUAAUUCACCUGGAAGUGCAAAGAAAACACAAGAAGGCGAGAUCCUCCAUAAAGUAAAGUCUACAGAAGUUACCGAGCUGGAAGAUUGGUAUUCUGUCACUAAGAAGUCCCAAAAGUCAUUAUAAAUCUGGUACACAUGAUAAGUCUCUGGAACAAUAUAAUUUUAAACUCCACUUAAAAGUUACAGAUUUUUUUCUUGGCAAUGAACUUUCUGGAUUGGCUCUUACUACUUGAAGCUUGUAGAAGCAGAUUAAUAGCAGGCCAACUGUUUUAAAAGUCAAAUUCACAAUGAGUUAGUUAUGAAUUUUCACAUGCUAGUUCAGGUGCUUUCAAGAAGUAGUAUAAUCUUAGCUUUUGUUUCAGUGAGUGAUGCUUUUAGGAGAGCAGUAGGCCCACCUUUGUGCUCUCCUAAGACUGGUUUUUAUUGAAGCCUAAGAGGGUAAAGCUUUUGGAUGCCAUUAGCUAGACCUGAGUUUAAACCUACAUUUAACUCUUUGGAUGUCUGAAUUUUAACAAGUUGCUUUAUUGUCCUGAGUUAUGGGCUUCUUAUUUUCAAAGGGGCCUUGUUGCAUCCUGUCAUUGGACAUCUAUUAAUUACCCCAACAGUAGUCCUGGUCAUUAUUCUGUGACUGAAUAUGUGGCCAAUCUAAACUAGUUGGAAACUCUGAUACUAUGAUGAACCAUCAUGAUAUUAUACGAUGGGGGCUGGGGGGCUGGCCUAGCUGGGCUAGUCACAGGAACUCAAGUGAGUUUUUAUUGGGGGGAGCACUGGAAAAUUCCUUUAAUUCUUCCUACUGAAUGUGGGAACAAGAAAAGACACGAAACUGCAGCUGCAUCUGCUCCAUUAGCAUCAUAGGGUAAGAGCCUGAAGGUGUGGAGCUACCAGGUGAACCUUAGAAGAUUAUACAGGAAAUGGCAGAACUGGGAUUUGGACACAGUCCAAGAUGGGUGAUGUAGUUUGAGCCCUGGAGCUAGCCCAGCUCUUGGUCUUUUCAUCUAUUGUGGGUCUAGUUUUCUGUUACUUUGAGCAAAAAGAAAUUCAAUGAAAAUAGGGAUUCUGUUACCACAACUUAGGGUUGUGAUGAAGUUAAAACAUGAUACUGUAUGUGAAUUGCUUUGGACAAUGCCUACUAAUUCUGUCUUGAGGUAUUUCUCUCCAACUUUAUAAAGUUAUAAAAAAUAAAAAUCCCAUUUAAAAAUUCCCCACCUUA
rnacentral:lncRNA from 1 species